rnacentral:misc_RNA from 1 species
UAAAAAAAAAAAAAAAAAGAGAUCCUUUUGGCCUCCUUACUGAGUGAUUCAAGUGGCUGCUAAUGAAAGGUUAGAUCCAGCUAAGUGAAGAUCCAAGUGUUUAACUUGUGUGCCAAUGCAAUGAGCUUUCAGAGGUAGUUGAAUAUUCUUUUUUUCCUCUUCUUGAAGGAUUAUUCUAGACUUGUUUGUGUAGUUUGAAGUUGAGAUGCAAAGAAUGAUUUUGAUUUGGAUUGUUUCCAAUGUUGAAAAGUCCAAUAAGAUUAAUAUCAAGGCACUAUGAGGUACAAUGUCUUGUUCAAUAUUAAUUUUGUAAGGAAUGAAA